rnacentral:rRNA from 1 species
CACGGGGGGAGCAAGCGUUGUUCGGAAUCACUGGGCGUAAAGGGCGUGUAGGCGGUCAAGUAAGUGGAAUGUGAAAGCCCCCGGCUUACCCGGGGAUCUGCAUCCCAAACUGCUUGGCUUGAGUACGGGAGAGGAUAGGGGAAUUCCUGGUGUAGCGGUGAAAUGCGUAGAUAUCGAGAGGAACACCUGCGGCGAAGGCGGGUUGCUGGGCUGACACUGACGCUGACAGCGCGAAAGCUAGGGGAGCGAACGGG